AAUGCGCCAAACUCAUUUAUUAGGCCCAGCCUUGUGGGCUGAAAACUAGUGUAAAUUUGUAUAAAUUAUAGGAACCACAUAUUAUAAAUACAAAAUGACCAUUUAUCCCUUUAAGAAUUGAAAUUACUAAAAAUCCCUUAAAAAGCAAAGAACCGAGAUACAUCAGUCUGGCACGGGAUACAUAAGAACUGAUACAUCAAAGUUAAAGGCUGUUGCGAUUAAUUAGGGUUAAUUAACGUGAUUUCUGUUAUUCUUAACUGAAAUCACGUAAUUAAUGGUCAUCAGAUUGUGUAACGGAUUAGUAGGGAUACAUCACUCUGGCAAGGGAUACAUCACUCUGGCACGGGAUACAUAUUAACUGAUACAUCAUAAUUAAAAGGCUGCUGCGAUUAAUUAGGAUUAAUUAGCGUGAUUCCUGUUAUUCUUAACUGAAAUCACGUAAUUAAUGGUCAUCAGAUUGUGUAACUGAUUAGUAAAUUCAAAUUUUAAAUCAGAUUAGCUUCAUAAUUCAAAAAUAUUCGUGUAAAGGUUGAUCUGCAUACUAAGAAUUCAAAAAAAAAAGGUUUUGAAGAUAAAUAUCUCAAUUCUGCUGCGGCAUUCUGGAAUUUGGAGCUUGAGAUCGACAAUGUUACAAAGGAUAUUGAAAUACGAUACAUUGUCGAGGGAAGCUCAUGUCCGUUGAAAAUCAAAAACGACAUGGGUGUGAAACUUUGUUUUGAAGUGAAAAAGAAUGCAACUGGAAUUGGCAUGUAUCCGCUUUGUAUUGAUACAACUGAUAAAAUUGUUGGGGAUAUACGUAAUUUUGACUGUUCAUCAGGUGAAGUCAUAUGUGUGGAAGGUACCGAAAGAGAUACUGAAGCUCUUGCUCUGGUCGAGUCUAGAAUUUGUGACUUUGCAGUUUAAUUAUGUGCCAAAUUUAAACUCCAAAUUUUAUAAAUAAAUAGAUUCAACAGUGGUGCGUUUUCAAUGUAACAGUAAUGAUAUAGGAGUUUGUUUGUGUAUGUGAUGUAUCAUAUACAUGAAUAUUAUUGAAAAGA